ACUACUAAAAAAAAGCAACCGUCGGCGCCGAUAUUUACAGAUAGCCGAUAGGUCCAGAAAGCAACCGUCGGCGCCGAUAUUUACAGAUAGCCGAUAGGUCCAGAAAGCAACCGUCGGCGCCGAUAUUUACAGAUAGCCGAUAGGUCCAGAAAGCAACCGUCGGCGCCGAUAUUUACAGAUAGCCGAUAGGUCCAGAAAGCAACCGUCGGCGCCGAUAUUUACAGAUAGCCGAUAGGUCCAGAAAGCAACCGUCGGCGCCGAUAUUUACAGAUAGCCGAUAGGUCCAGAAAGCAACCGUCGGCGCCGAUAUUUACAGAUAGCCGAUAGUUCCAGAAAGCAACCGUCGGCGCCGAUAUUUACAGAUAGCCGAUAGGUCCAAAAAGCAACCGUCGGCGCCGAUAUUUACAGAUAGCCGAUAGGUCCAAAAAGCAACCGUCGGCGCCGAUAUUUACAGAUAGCCGAUAGGUCCAAAAAGCAACCGUCGGCGCCGAUAUUUACAGAUAGCCGAUAGGUCCAAAAAGCAACUGUCGGCACUAAUUAAUCAGUAAAUCCAGUCUACCUCUAGUUUUUGAUGCAUAUUUUGUAGAUUUUAUUUGUGUCUUGGUGUUUCCAUCCAGUAGUUUUAAAAAGUGCAUACAAAUAUGUGGAUCGAAACCCAGUUACUGACGUUAGUGAUUAAAAUGAAAGCAAUUAAAAUCGUCUACUGAAGAAAAUAUCCGUCACGAGUGGCGCAUCUUCUAACAUGCUGUGGAUGGUAUUUUGGUACAGCAAGUCAUCAAAUAAUUGUUAACGGGAUCAUUUUUAAGUGGAAUCAGAAAUAUAACCGAUGCUGGACUGACUCUGCAGUGUUCUGUGUGUUGUUGACUGAUUGAGGUAGUGAACUAGUCUGUAAGGAAACGGGUCAGUCAGUUAGAAUCACGAUCAGUCGUGUUAGUAAA